rnacentral:hammerhead_ribozyme from 1 species
AUUCAGCUGAUAAGUCCCAAAUAGGAUGAAACGCUAGUCAAACUGGAU